CGGACAGUAUUAUUACUUAGGUGGCGGACGGGUGAGUAACGCGUGGUAACCUACCUCAUACAGGGGGAUAACAGUUGGAAACGACUGCUAACACCGCAUAACAAGUUGGGACCGCAUGAUCCUAACUUCAAAUAUUUAUAGGUAUGAGAUGGGCCCGCGUCUGAUUAGCUAGUUGGUGGGGUAAUGGCCUACCAAGGCGACGAUCAGUAGCCGGCUUGAGAGAGUGACCGGCCACAUUGGGACUGAGACACGGCCCAAACUCCUACGGGAGGCAGCAGUGGGGAAUAUUGGACAAUGGGGGCAACCCUGAUCCAGCCGACGCCGCGUGAGUGAAGAAGUAUUUCGGUAUGUAAAGCUCUAUCAGCAGGGAAGAUAAUGACAGUACCUGACUAAGAAGCCCCGGCUAACUACGUGCCAGCAGCUGC
rnacentral:rRNA from 1 species